rnacentral:misc_RNA from 1 species
GUGGCGCAGGGUUGCAGGCGUCGGAUAGUGGUUGUUCACGGUGGGGGUAACAUCGUUUGUCAGUUGUUUUCCGUAAGUCCGCGCUCGUGGACGGGCGCAUGAAACCAACCCCCAACCCCUUUGUCAAGUUCCCCGACUUUAUGGUUUCUGCCCCCGUGAGAUCAGACGUUCAGAGACUGGCGGGCUCGACAAAAAUUCUCACCUUCCGUACGAUAUCCCUUCUGAUUCCAAUCUCGUUGAUCUCGUUAACAUAAUACUCUGUUAAUUUCCAACGUUCGCAUUGAUCCGUCAUUGUCGGUAUGAAUGAUGAUGGACGUGGAAGAAACCAAUACCGCGUCCACUGCAAGUUCCUCACCAAGACCCUCCAGCCCUGCGGCAGAUUCGACUUUCAUCAGCGUGAAGAGGGAGCCGAGCACGGAAGAACCCAGCAGCCCUCUCGAGGCAACGAGUCCCGCUUCCAUCCUGCGCAACAACAACGCGAUGGAUCACGUGAAAAGCCAGGGGACCACAGACCCACUGAAAAUCGGUGGAAAAGGCCGUGCUUGCGUUACCCGAAAAAAGUUUUCCCCUUAGAUCGUUCCGUUGUGCAACGUGGCAAAUAAAGUGAAACUCAGAGAGAAACGAACAAAAUAUAAAGAAGGAAGAGAAAAUACGCGGAGAGGAAGGAAGAAAAGGACGAAGAAAGAAUAUAUAUACACAUAUAUAAACAUAAGCGUAACACAAAGAUAGAAAAAAAGUCAGGGAGAGAGAAAGAGAGAGAAGCAGAGGAGCGGAAAAGGAAAGCGAAAGCAGCGAAUGAUCUCUCGAUCUCAACCAAAAAGGAAAGAUAAUGGGUUGAACCCUCGCAUCGUUUUUAUUUCGAAGCGGAAACCCGGGGAGAGAGAGAGAGAGACAGAGAGAGGGAGAGAGCCAGAAGGGAAAAUAACGAUGUCGAUGAGAACAUGCCCUCGCACGAAGACGAUACCGAGCGUCUUUUCAAACAAUGCUGAACCCUGUCGAAGAUCGCGAUCCCACGGAUUUUCGCAGCCCUCGGGCAACCAGAUAGCUAACGAGAAAGGUCUUCUCUUCCUGUUGUGACACGGUGCCAGUGAAGUGCGGAUUUUUUUCCCCGUUUGUUCGUGCAACCGCUGCCAGGUGCUUCGUAGUUGUUUGCUUUCGCGUUGACACGGGAAAAAGGAUCGUUAAAAAAAGAAAAGGAAAGAAAAAAGAAACAAAGGAAAAGAAAUAGAAUCUUGCGCGAUUAACAACCUUCUAUGAAUCCAAGCACACACAUUUUGUGAUCCACAGUUCUUCGACUUCGUUCAUUUAACAUUUUCAUCUCGAACGAACCACGUCUUUCAUUUUUCUCAUAUUUUCUUUCAGUCUCGCGUUUGUUCCGGUUUUAACCAGCCGCGAGUACCAUCAUCGAUCGUCUCCUCGAGUAAAGAGUAAAGAGCAGAGAGUAGCCUGUUGCUCGGCUAGUGGCAAACAACGCGCUGGAGUAGACGCAAAGAAGAUACAUGUACGUUGUAUAUAAUAAAUCCAUAUAAGUUUCUCUUGGAGCAUAUCAAGACGUAAAGUUGUUGAAUCGGUGAAAUUCGUGACGAGUCGGAUUGAACUCG